rnacentral:rRNA from 1 species
GACACGACUCUCGGCAAUGGAUAUCUCGGCUCUCGCAUCGAUGAAGAGCGCAGCGAAAUGCGAUAUGUGGUGCGAAUUGCAGAAUCCCGCGAACCAUCGAGUCUUUGAACGCAAGUUGCGCCCGAGGCCAGCCAGCCAAGGGCACGUCCGCCUGGGCGUCAAGC